ACCCUUCGAUGUUCUGGGCUGCACGCGCGCUACACUGAUAAAGUCAACGAGUUUACAACCUUUUCUGAAAGGAAUGGGUAAUCUUUUGAAACUUUAUCGUGAUGGGGAUAGAAGAUUGCAAUUAUUUUUCUUGAACGAGGAAUGCCUAGUAAUAGUGGUUCAUCAGACCGCUGUGAUUACGUCCCUGCCCUUUGUACACACCGCCCGUCGCUCCUACCGAUUGAAUUGUCCGAUGAAAUUUUUGGAUUGCGGGUUUUGUUUUACUGUUAGUUCGCUAGUAGUAACGCCUGUGAGAAGUUAAUUUAAUCUUACAAUUUAGAGGAAGGAGAAGUCGUAACA
rnacentral:rRNA from 1 species